ensembl:lncRNA
UUCACAUAGCAGGAGGUAAGACUUUUCUCUCUCUCACUAGGAGAAAGGGUUGUCAGCAUUUCUACAUUUCACAGAUCCAUUCAGGAGGAUGAAAUGAGACGGGCUGCACAUGAAAGGAAAGUGCCAAUGAUCUGAACCAUUUUGUUCAGCAUUUUGCAGUGACAGCUCUCUGCAGUGAGC